UACGAAGGGGGCUAGCGUUGCUCGGAAUCACUGGGCGUAAAGGGUGCGUAGGCGGGUCUUUAAGUCAGGGGUGAAAUCCUGGAGCUCAACUCCAGAACUGCCUUUGAUACUGAAGAUCUUGAGUUCGGGAGAGGUGAGUGGAACUGCGAGUGUAGAGGUGAAAUUCGUAGAUAUUAGGAAGAACACCAGUGGCGAAGGCGGCUCACUGGCCCGGUACUGACGCUGAGGUACGAAAGCGUGGGGAGCAAACAGG
rnacentral:rRNA from 1 species